AGUCACUGGGGGAGCCUUGAGCUGAGAGAUGGUUAGUUAACCGUCGACCCUUUGAACCUGUUGGGUUAAUACCUGCGUAGGGAAGUGAAA
rnacentral:ncRNA from 1 species